rnacentral:piRNA from 2 species
UCUGAAUGUCCAUGUUCAACUCAUGCGGUG